UACGGGGGGGGGCAAGCGUUUGUUCGGAAUUACUGGGCGUAAAGGGCUCGUAGGUGGCCAACUAAGUCAGACGUGAAAUCCCUCGGCUUAACCGGGGAACUGCGUCUGAUACUGGAUGGCUUGAGUUCGGGAGAGGGAUGCGGAAUUCCAGGUGUAGCGGUGAAAUGCGUAGAUAUCGGGAGGAACACCAGUGGCGAAGGCGACUUCUUGGCCUGUUCUUGACGCUGAGGCGCGAAAGCUGGGGGAGCAAACGGGG
rnacentral:rRNA from 1 species